rnacentral:lncRNA from 1 species
CUCAUAUUUUAAUUUUUUUGUUAAUUUUUCUUUUUCUUUCAUUCUUUUCUUUCCUUUUUUUCCCACUCAGAUAUCUUUUCCAUAUUAGUUUUUUUUUCUUUUUCUUUUUUUUUUAGAAAUUGCCCUGCAAUUGGGUCUUGGCAUUAUAUUUAUGAAUACAUUCUUACAGGGUAAUGAGGAGUAUAUAUUUUCAAUUAUAUAUGGCCAUUUAUUAAAGGAACACUAUAGGGUCAGAAACACAAAUGUGUAUUCCUGAUCCUACAGUGUUAAAAUAACUAGGGUGAGCGGAGCCUGAGACAUGUGCUGAUCAGACGUGUACUGGGCGAGCUCCCGCUUUGCUUACUGAUUUUUGGGGGAUAUUUUUAGCUACUGCAAUAAAAUCUGGGCGAUUUCACGCAAACUGAAGAGGGGUAGCUGUGAUUAACCCACCGAUACCUAACUCGGGAGCCUGUUGAGACUUGCCGAGGCCUACAGGCUGCUGUGCUGGGGAAAGGCAGAAGAGUGAUGGGCGUUAUUCCCCUUCCAGCUGGACUGACCUACAAUGCUACCCAUUCCAUAGCAGACAGCUGUUGCCACUAACCUGUGAACGCCUAAGCUUCCCAAGAUGGCAGAAAAGUCUUCACCGGCGGCAAAGGUCCUUUGUUGAUGCACACAGCCUCACUGGCAAUAUUUCAGGACCUUUGGACCCAAUUGGAGAGGCACUUGGUGACUGCCUCAAUGCUGCCUCAAGAGCAAAUCUGACGAGGACUAAUUCAAAUAUGUGGCAGACUACUUCACGGUGACAUGCACCACCAGGAACCUGCUCCUCUACCCACACACCUUUCCAAGAUGCAGAACAACAGGGGCCUGACCCUUCUCCAUCUGCCACGAUGGUAGAGAACGGCACUCCACUGCUGCAUCUGCGGAGGGCCAUGUUCCAUCGGCCAAGACGUCAGAGAUCCGCACUUCAUCAACCGCAACAGCAGAGAAUUGGAGUUCACCUGCCAGAGUUCUGCACACUAUCUGCAACAGCAGUGGAGAAACCCUAGGCACAUAUGGAAGUUAACGAUUGAACUUUCUAUGUGAACUCUCGAGUGCAGCGCAGAGCAUGGAGAAGCUGAACCUCUGAGGAGUGGCCACUAGAGAUGUAAUAUAAACACUGCCUUUUCUCUAAAAGGACAGUGUUUACACAAACAGCCAGCAGGCACUGACUAUACUCACCAUAACAACUACCUUAAAGGGACACUAUAGGUACCCAUACUACUUCAGCUCAUUGAAGUGGUCUGGGUACAGUGUCCGAGAUCCCUUAACCCUGCAAAAACUGCAAUACGUACCUGCCAGGGUUAAACCCACCUCCAGUAGCGAUUUACCUGACAACCACUAGAGGAACUUCCGAUCAUUAGGUGACUUUUGGUUGCCUAACUGACACUGGAUAUCCUAACACUAUGCAUGAGGACAUCCAGUGCCACCCAAGACCUCAUAGGAACAUAUUAUGCAACACUUUUGUAUGGGGGAAGUCCCAAUGCAAGCACCGAGAUUUCCGCUCAUGUGCAGUAGGCCCCAAUGUCGGCUUAUUUUGGCAGGGGGGAAGCGGAGGGACAUCAGCGCUGGAAUCAGGUAAGUGACAGAAGGAGUUCUUAACGCCUUGUGCACCACCAUUAAUCCAUGUAUUUGUGUCCUCUUGUCAAGAUUACUGUAAUGUACUCUACUUGGGCCUCCCAGAAAAAGAACUCCAUCACCUACAGACAGUACAAAAUGCAGCAGCCAGACUACUGACCAGCCAAAGUCAAUCAUGUCACAUAACACCUGUUCUCCACUCCCUGCAUUGGCUUCCAAUUAAAUGGCAAACAUUUUAACAUUGGCCUGGGACUCUUUUGAUAGGCAUUCAGUCAGCUCUUCUGACUGUCAGAAACGCUUAGCUUUUAUGUCUGCUUUAUAUAUUUGUAAAGUGUUUUGAGCCUCACUGGGAGAAAAGUGCUACAAAAAUUGCAAAUUAUUAUU